AUGAGAGUGCCAACCAUGUGCUUAAGGGUUAUGUCCAAGCAAGUUGCCCCAUGCAUCUAUUUUGUUCGGCAGUACAUGAGGCUCCUUUUUUAUCAAGAGGCAAAUGAGAACUAUGAAGAAAGACGUACAAAGAUAAUUUCCCCAGUUAUGAAGAUGAACACACCACUUGAGUUGCAUGCUAGCGAUAUAUAUAUAUGUACUGGAGCUAUGUUUGGGAAAUUUGGUGAAGUCCUGUAUGAAGCAGGGCAGUACAGGAUAGAGGAGAUCAGCAAACGCAAGACAUAUUUUGCCCAAAGUUAUCACCCAGAGAAAUAUGACAAAUGGUGCAGGGUUGUGUACAAACUGGAUGCUCUUGAUGAUGGCACGCGACUCAUAUGCGAGUGUGGUAAUUUUGAGCACACAUGCUUGCUCUGCUGCCACGCAGUUAAGGUCCUUGAUUUCCUUGGUGUAGAUAAGAAAACAGCAAAGCACAUUGUGAAACGUUGGACAAAGGAUGCGAGAGAUGUGCUGCCGAGCAUUUGGCAUAUCUUCAGAAGGACAACAUUGAUGUAA
rnacentral:rRNA from 1 species